rnacentral:rRNA from 1 species
UACGGAAGGCAGCAGUGGGGAAUAUUGCACAAUGGGCGCAAGCCUGAUGCAGCCAUGCCGCGUGUAUGAAGAAGGCCUUCGGGUUGUAAAGUACUUUCAGCGGGGAGGAAGGCGAUGCGGUUAAUAACCGCGUCGAUUGACGUUACCCGCAGAAGAAGCACCGGCUAACUCCGUGCCAGCAGCCGCGGUAAUACGGAGGGUGCAAGCGUUAAUCGGAAUUACUGGGCGUAAAGCGCACGCAGGCGGUCUGUUAAGUCAGAUGUGAAAUCCCCGGGCUUAACCUGGGAACUGCAUUUUGAAACUGGCAGGCUUGAGUCUUGUAGAGGGGGUAGAAUUCCAGGUGUAGCGGUGAAAUGCGUAGAGAUCUGGAGGAAUACCGGUGGCGAAGGCGGCCCCUGGGACAAAGCUGACGCUCAGGUGCGAAAGCGUGGGGAGCAAACGAGGAUUAGGAUAC